rnacentral:snRNA from 1 species
UGACUACCAGGUAAACCAA